GACAGAGGAUGCAAGCGUUAUCCGGAAUGAUUGGGCGUAAAGCGUCCGCAGGUGGCUGGGUAAGUCUGCUGUCAAAGAGCGAAGCUCAACUUCGUAAAGGCAGUGGAAACUACACGGCUAGAGUGCGUUCGGGGCAGAGGGAAUUCCUGGUGUAGCGGUGAAAUGCGCAGAUAUCAGGAAGAACACCCGUGGCUAAGGCGGUUCUCUAGUACGGUACUGACGCUGAGACGCGAAAGCGUGGGGAGCGAACAGG
rnacentral:rRNA from 1 species